rnacentral:rRNA from 1 species
CAGCAGCCACGGUAACACGAAGGGGGCUAGCGUUGUUCGGAAUUACUGGGCGUAAAGCGCACGUAGGCGGAUAUUUAAGUCAGGGGUGAAAUCCCAGAGCUCAACUCUGGAACUGCCUUUGAUACUGGGUAUCUUGAGUAUGGAAGAGGUGAGUGGAAUUCCGAGUGUAGAGGUGAAAUUCGUAGAUAUUCGGAGGAACGCCAGUGGCGAAGGCGGCUCACUGGUCCAUUACUGACGCUGAGGUGCGAAAGCGUGGAGAGCAAACAGGAUUAGAUACCCCCGUAGUCCCUGUCUCUUAUAC